UUGUUGGUAAGGUAAAAGCUUACCAAGGCUUCGAUCAGUAGCUGGUCUGAGAGGACGACCAGCCACACUGGGACUGAGACACGGCCCAGACUCCUACGGGAGGCAGCGGUGGGGAAUUUUGGACAAUGGGGGCAACCCUGAUCCAGCCAUGCCGCGUGAGUGAAGAAGGCCUUCGGGUUGUAAAGCUCUUUCAGCCGGAACGAAACGGUUACGGUUAACACCCGUGACUACUGACGGUACCGGAAGAAGAAGCACSGGCUAACUACGUGCCAGCAGCCGCGGUAAUACGUAGGGUGCGAGCGUUAAUCGGAAUUACUGGGCGUAAAGCGUGCGCAGGUGGUUUUGUAAGUCAGAUGUGAAAGCCCCGGGCUCAACCUGGGAACUGCGUUUGAAACUACAAGACUAGAGUGUGGCAGAGGGGGGUGGAAUUCCGCGUGUAGCAGUGAAAUGCGUAGAGAUGUGGAGGAACACCGAUGGCGAAGGCAGCCCCCUGGGUCAACACUGACGCUCAGGCACGAAAGCAUGGGGAGCAAACAGGAUUAGAUACCCUGGUAGUCCAUGCCCUAAACGAUGUCAACUAGUUGUCGGGCCUUUACGGGCUUGGUAACGUAGCUAACGCGUGAAGUUGACCGCCUGGGGAGUACGAUCGCAAGAUUAAAACUCAAAUGAAUUGACGGGGACCCGCACAAGCGGUGGAUUAUGUGGAUUAAUUCGAUGCAACGCGAAAAACCUUACCUACCCUUGACAUGUAUCGAAGCCCGCAGAAAAGCGGGGGUGCCCGAAAGGGAACGAUAACACAGGUGCUGCAUGGCUGUCGUCAGCUCGUGUCGUGAGAUGUUGGGUUAAGUCCCGCAACGAGCGCAACCCUUGUCAUUAAUUGCCAUCAUUUAGUUGGGCACUUUAAUGAGACUGCCGG
rnacentral:rRNA from 1 species